CUCUUUUAAAUGAGGAAGAUGGCCAAGGAUCAUCCUGUAUGUAUUGUUGAUGUUCUUCCAUGUUCCUGAUCAGUGACUAACCUGCAGCUCAACUGUCUAUUUUCCUCUUUAAUGGCACAGUAGCUUGGGUGAAUGUGGACAGAUUCCUGCUAUAAUUGUGCUUUAUUAUUUGUAGUUCAGCUUUGCACUGUUUGCUUUCAUUUGCUAAAAGCUUUCAAACAGAAGUAAACUUUUCAAAAACAACAUCACCUUUACUCUGGAUGCAUUUGAAAACCGUAACAUAUGAUUUUUUUUUUCUUUCUUUCCCUCCUCUCUCAUUUAAGAUGACCUUGAGUGAUGGCAUGAGGAACAAGGCAAGGCUGUCAAUUACAGGAAGUACUGGAGAAAAUGGACGUGUUAUGACUCCAGAAUUUCCAAAAGCAGUGCAUGCUGUCCCUUACGUGAGUCCUGGCAUGGGAAUGAAUGUCAGUGUGACUGAUCUCUCUUGAUUGAUAAGAACCUUUUGAGUGCCUUACACAAUGGUUUUCUUGUGUGUUUAUUGUCAAAGUGGUGAGAGGCAUCCCGUAUCUUGAAGACUUUUCUUUCAGUCAAGAAUUCUUAAAUACGCGGAGUUCAUCUUGAAUUGUAAGGAACGAUAAAUUAAAACAAAAAAACAGCAUCCUUUUCUACUCGAAUUACAGACGAAGCGUGGUGGACAUGCACAGCUAACACGGAAGUACUAGAAUUUAACCGAAGUCUUUGUACAGACAACAAACCUGUUUCUGCAGCCACUAUUGUUAGUCUCUUGAUUCAUAAUGACUUAAGCACACUUGACAUCAACUGCAUCAAGAUGUGACAUGUUUUAUAAGAAAAAGAAAAAAAAAACAUUUAAAAUAAAAAAAAUAUUUUUAGGUAUUUUCACAAACAAACUGGCUUUUAAAUAAAUUUGCUUCCAUAUUGGUCGGAUAAGACAAAAAAACAAACUGAGUGGGAAGUGAUUAAAAAAAAAGGCUUUAGGUAUCAGUUCCAUAUUUUUCAAAGCCAAAAAUGUAAAUGCUAAGGGAAGAAAACAAAGAGAAGAUUCCAAUCUUGUAAUUUAAUAUUGUUAUUAAAACUUUAAUGUAUCCUAUUCUUUAACAUUUGGUGUUAAUAUAAAAUUACUUGGCAAUGCUUGACAUUUGAAAUAAACAUUUUUCUAUUGUUUUAUUUGCAAGUGGUCCAAUUAAUUUUGCUUAGCUACAGUUUGGUCAUAAAUCAAGUGAGUUUAAAGACACUACUAAGUUGUUAGGUUCCCAGAGAAAAAAUAUCCCCCUUUUAAAGAGGCCAGGUGAUUUUUUUUUCAAAUAUGAACUUGCCCCCAAAUAAUAUCUGAAUGUGUUUUUGAUAUGUCUUACUAUACAUAAUGAAAUGUUUCUUAAUACAA
rnacentral:lncRNA from 1 species